rnacentral:rRNA from 1 species
AGAGUUUGAUCAUGGCUCAGAACGAACGCUGGCGGCAGGCUUAACACAUGCAAGUCGAGCGCACCCUUCGGGGUGAGCGGCGGACGGGUUAGUAACGCGUGGGAACGUGCCCAGAUCUGCGGAAUAGCCACUGGAAACGGUGAGUAAUACCGCAUACGCCCUUCGGGGGAAAGAUUUAUCGGAUUUGGAUCGGCCCGCGUUAGAUUAGGUAGUUGGUGGGGUAAUGGCCUACCAAGCCUACGAUCUAUAGCUGGUUUUAGAGGAUGAUCAGCAACACUGGGACUGAGACACGGCCCAGACUCCUACGGGAGGCAGCAGUGGGGAAUCUUGGACAAUGGGGGCAACCCUGAUCCAGCCAUGCCGCGUGAGUGAUGAAGGCCUUAGGGUCGUAAAGCUCUUUCGCCAGGGAUGAUAAUGACAGUACCUGGUAAAGAAACCCCGGCUAACUCCGUGCCAGCAGCCGCGGUAAUACGGAGGGGGUUAGCGUUGUUCGGAAUUACUGGGCGUAAAGCGCACGUAGGCGGAUUAGUCAGUCAGAGGUGAAAUCCCAGGGCUCAACCCUGGAACUGCCUUUGAUACUGCUAGUCUUGA